UGAGGAGGAGAUCGGCGUCGGCGUCGAAGGGGAUCUCCGAUCUCAACGCGUCCAAAACCCUCGUCUCUGACCCCAUUUUCGAGCUCGAUUUGGAUCGAUCCCUCUCCCUCUCCCUCUCCCUCUCCUUCGCAUGAGAUGGGUAUGAUCUCCUCUCGUAGACUUUUUCCCUCUUUUUUUUUUUUUUUUCGGGGGGGCGCGCGCGGGGGAUCCGAAUCCUGAUUGGAUGAUGCAGCUGUUAGUGGGAUUCGGUGGUCAAAGUGGGGCUUUUUUUUAAGUUUUUUUAAGGUAGGCGAAGAAGAUUCUCGGCAUACCCCAGAUGCAAUCUCAGCCGUUGGAUCGCCCAACCGUUGGGUGUUGCUGUUUCAGCAUCCUCCGGUUUUAGAGGUGGCAAUCCAGCUCGCUGUUCACGAGUCAGUGUUCGGCUCGAAAUAAGCUCAAGAUUGAAUUGCUCAUUUAGAGCCGAACACGAGCCGAAUUUUUCAGCUCGUUUAUUAAACGAGCAGAACACGAGCUAGGGUUAGCUCGCUCGUGUUUGGCUCAAUAACAGCUCGAAUACAUAUAUUUUAUAUUUAUAUAAUUUAUUUAAUUUAUAUUUAUAUAUAUAAAUAAAUAAUUAUAUAUACAAUAUAUAUUUUUAUUAUUUAAUUUUUAGCAAAAUAAAAAUAUAAAGGCGAGCUUAAUUAUAAAAAACUCAUUUAUAUAUAAAGCUUCAACUAUUAGAUCAAAGUCUAAUGGAUAAGAUUCUAAAAGUUUAUUUUUUAUAUAUAUUCGAUCUAAUUAUUUUAAUUUAUUGUUCGUUGGCCAGCUCGUUAGCCAGCUCGUGUUUGGCUCGUUUAUUAACGAGCCGNAAUUUUUCAGCUCGAUACUUUAACGAGCCAGCUCGUGUUCGGCUCGUUUACACCCCUACCUCCGGUGUAGGGUCGUCAACAAUCCCAACACGAGCGAGCUGGCCCAGCUUUGGCCGUUCAAUUAUUAAACGAGCCGAACGCGAGCAAGCUCGUUAAAGCAUCGAACUUAAAAAUUUAACUCAUAUUCAACUUGUUUACUAACAAGUCGAACACAAACUGACUCGCGAAUAAUAAAUUAGAUUGUUAGUAUUACUAUUAGGGCGCGUUUGGUUCGAGUUAUGUAAUAUUACAGAGUAUUUCGAUAUAUCCAGAUAUUUUAGAUUUCUAAAUUAUAUUACAACUGAUACUGUAUUAAUGCGUUUGAUUUAAUUUAGUAAUAUAAUACCAUAUUGCAGCAUUUAUAGCAUUACUAUAUUUGGUUCAGUUUAUAAAAUUCAAUAAUCUUAACAAUAAAGUAUACUCUAUUCCAAAAUUACUCUUAGUCAUAUUUGGCAAAAAAAAAAAUUUACUGUUUACAAAUAAUAUUUUUUUACUAAAUUUUAUUUUAAAUAAAUUUGAAUUUGAACAAAAAUACAAAAUUUAAUAUUUUAAUUUAAAAUAUAAAUAUGAAAUUUAUAAAUUUAAAAUCUAAAAUUUAAAAUUUAAAAUUAAAUUUUCAUUAAAAAACUAUAUUUAAAAUAUGUUGUAUGUUAUCAAUUACCACCCUACACAAUAAAUAGAUCCAAAAAAUUAAAAAAACUGACAAAUUAAGCUCUAAAAGUUUACCAAAAUAAAUAGGCAUAUUCGAUUAACUCUUAUUAAUCUCUAUAAUUUUGUCCACAUGACAUACUUACGUUGACUAUUGGUUGUGAGUUCCACAUUUUUUAUUACUCAUCUCCUUUCUUUGAACCUGCCAUCUUUUAAAAUUAGUGUAAUUUUUUCUUCCGUCUUUUCAGUAGAAGAGAACUUUCAAAGACUUUGUGGUUUCUCAGUCCAUCUAUUCGGUUUUCAUGCUUUUUUUUCUAAACUCAUCAGAAUUUAACUUGGGGCUUCUUUUGCAUUUAGCCUCCUGGCAAAUUUUUAUUUUAAAAAUAGCUCUAUCAAAAUUUAAUUUGCAAAAAUUGUCCUAGACCUGCCACGCAGGCGCCACGUCAGCACUACGCGGGCGGGUCUGGAGGCGGUUGUUAAGUUAAACACGGUGAAUCAUUCACCGUGUCUAAACACAGUGAAUGGUUCACCGUAUUUUGUACGUAUUUUUUAUAUGUUGAAAAGAAGAAUAGAGAAUUUGUAUUUCUUUUCUUCUCUUUUUCAAAAAUCCGAAUCCGAACCCAAAAAUCAAAUUAAAAUCCAAACCCAGAUCCGAACCCGACGAAUUUUAAAAAUUCAUACCCAUAUCCAUAUCCGACCAAAAACUCGAAACCCGAACCUGAACCCAGCAGAUUUUAAAAAUCUAUACCGUUGGAUGAAGAUCUAAAAAAUAAAAAUUAUUAAAUAUGUUAUAUAUUGUAUAAAUAAAUAAAAAUAAAUUAUGUAUAUAUAUAUAUAUAAUUUAUUCGGGUUUGAAUUCGGAUAAUAUUUCGAAUAUCCAUAUCUAUUGACAUCCCUACUCCCUAUUCCUCUUUUCAAUAAAAAUACGUACUAAACACGGUGAACCAUUCACCGUGUUUGAACACGGUGAAUAACCCACCGUGUUCAACUUAACACACGGGCCCCGGCCUUGCCCGCGUGGCGCUGACGUGGCGCCUGCAUGACAGGCCCAAGGUCAUUUUUGCAAAUUAAAUUUUGACGGGACUAAUUUUAAAAUAAAAAUUUGCCAUGAGGCUAAAUUCAAAAAAAGCCCUUUAACUUGAAAUCUCACUCCUCUUUUACCUAAACUCCUGACAAGGUCCCCCCCCUCUUCCUUACCGCACUUCCCUCAGCACAGUGGUGGCACGACUGAGAUCGAGACCGGUAACACGACUGAGAGCAGGACCAUCUCCCCUUUUUCAACCUCUUCUGUCCCCAAUCUCUCUUAAAGUCAUGAAGGCUCCAUCGAAGGGGGAGAAGAAGCGAUCAAGUUCAAACAUAUUGAGAGAUCCGAAGAUUGAUCCCUAAUUAAGCUCGAUUUCAUCGAUCGAUCUGUGUAGACCCCCAAUUUUGGGAGAACUAUUACGUACGGAUUUUAUGAACCUUAAUUUGAGAUAUGCUACUCCAACAAAUAUUCAUCCGCCGCAUUGCACAGUUCCU
rnacentral:lncRNA from 1 species